rnacentral:rRNA from 1 species
UGUGUAGGCGUGAGAGUGUAUCUGCAAGGGUGAGGGAUGUGGGUGCAGUGAGUUAGAGGUGGUUCCAUGUGGAAUAGUGGGAUUGGUACGUGAUGGUUGGAUG